UCCGGCUUAUCACCGGCAGUUUCCUUAGAGUGCUCAACUAAAUGGUGGCAACUAAGGAUGAGGGUUGCGCUCGUUGCGGGACUUAACCCAACAUCUCACGACACGAGCUGACGACAGCCAUGCAGCACCUGUGUGGGACCCAGCCGAACUGAAGGAAAGCAUUUCUGCGAUCCGAAAUCCCCAUGUCAAGGCCUGGUAAGGUUCUUCGCGUUGCCUCGAAUUAAACCACAUGCUCCACCGCUUGUGCGGGUCCCCGUCAAUUCCUUUGAGUUUUAAUCUUGCGACCGUACUCCCCAGGCGGAGUGCUUAAUGCGUUAGCUUCGCCACUGAACCCUACGGGCCCAACGGCUAGCACUCAUCGUUUACAGCGUGGACUAC
rnacentral:misc_RNA from 1 species